AUGAACGCUGGCGGCGUGCUUCACACAUGCAAGUCGAACGGGAUCCAAGGGGUGCUUGCACUUUUUGGUGAGAGUGGCGAACGGGUGAGUAACACGUGAGUAACCUGUCCUUUUCUUUGGGAUAAGCAUUCGAAAGGGUGUUUAAUACCUUAUGUUCUGUCUGCCUCGCAUGGGGUGGGUGGGAAAGGCUUUGGCCGGAUUUGGGUGGGCUCGCGGUCUAUCAGCUUGUUGGUGGGGUGAUGGCUUACCAAGGCUUUGACGGGUAGCCGGCCUGAGAGGGUGGUCGGUCACAUUGGGACUGAGAUACGGCCCAGACUCCUGCGGGAGGCAGCAGUGGGGGAUAUUGCACAAUGGGCGAAAGCCUGAUGCAGCGACGCCGCGUGGGGGAUGAAGGCCUUCGGGUUGUAAACUUCUGUUGCUCUGAACAAGGCAUGCCAGUGGGUGUGUUGAGUGUAGGGGUUGAUUAGCGCCGGCUAACUACGUG
rnacentral:rRNA from 1 species